rnacentral:rRNA from 1 species
UAAGGGAGGCAGCAGUGGGGAAUAUUCAACAAUGGGGGAAACCAGAAGGCAGGAAGGCGGUUUAAGUGUUGAAGGCUUUGGGGUGGUAAAAUUUUUUAUUAGGGGAGAAUAAGGAGGGUCAGGUAGAAGGAACCCAGGGCAAAUUAGUGCCCGCCGGCGGGGUUAUAAGGAGGGUGGCAAGGUUUGUCGGAAAUUAUGGGGGUAAAGGGGAGGGUGGGGGGUUUUUUAAGUGGGAGUGAAAUUCCCCGGGUUCACCGGGGGAAUGCCAUUCCAAACUGGGGAAUAGAGUUGCGGGAGGGGAAGUAGAAUUUCCAGUGUAGCGGUGAAAUGGGUAAAUAAUUGGGGGGAACACCAGUGGGGAGGGGGACCUUUGGGACAAUAAUGACGGUGAAGCAUGAAAGGGUGGGGAACAAACCAGAUUAAAUACCCUGGUUGUUCACCCCAAAAAGAUGUAAUAUUUGGGGUAGGGGGUGAAGCCCUCUGUGCCGCAGUAACGCGUAAGUAUCCGCCUG